CUGAAACGCGUCGAGCCUUCCUCAUCGCCUCCGACUCUCCAAUCCCUCUUCGACUUGGUUUAUGAGAUUAUUGAUGACAACAGCAAUAGCUAUUGAAGAUGUCCGUAGAGAGGUUGUGUAAAGGUGGAGAACUACUGGAUAAAAUUUUGUCCAGGGGUGGAAGAUACACAGAAGAAGAUGCUAAAGUUAUUGUUGUGAAAAUUUUAAGUGUUAUU
rnacentral:lncRNA from 1 species